CCUACGGGCGGCUGCAGUAAGGAAUAUUGGACAAUGGAGGCAACUCUGAUCCAGCCAUGCCGCGUGAAGGAAUAAGGCCCUAUGGGUUGUAAACUUCUUUUAGACUGGACAAAACCCCUUUACGUGUAAAGGGUUGAUGGUACUGUCAGAAUAAGCAUCGGCUAACUUCGUGCCAGCAGCCGCGGUAAUACGAAGGAUGCAAGCGUUAUCCGGAUUUAUUGGUUUGAAGGGGUACUGAUAAGUAAUGAGUGAAAGCCUGCAGCUUAACUGCAGAAUUGCCGUUGAUACUGUCAGUCUUGAGUACAGUUGAGGUAGGCGGAAGGUGUCAUGUAGCGGUGAAAUGCUUAGAUAUGACACGGAACACCGAUUGCGAAGGCAGCUUGCUAAGCUGUAACUGACGCUGAGGCACGAAAGCGUGGGGAGCAAACAGGAUUAGAUACCCCUGUAGUC
rnacentral:rRNA from 1 species